rnacentral:RNase_P_RNA from 1 species
UCAGUUGGCCGGAUGACCGCGGCGCCUGCGGGCGUCGAGGAAAGUCCGGGCUCCAUCGAAAUACGGUGACGGCUAACGGCCGCCGGGGGCGACCCCAGGGAAAGUGCAACAGAAAGCAGACUGCCCGGCCACGGCCGGGUCAAGGUGAAAGGGUGCGGUAAGAGCGCACCGCGGCCCCGGCAACGGGGACGGCAUGGCAAACCCCACCGGGAGCAAGACCAAAUAGGGACGACGCGGGCCUUCGCGCCCAGGCCGCAUUUCGAGGCCGGUCGUCCGGGUUGGUUGCUGGAGGCGCCGGGCAACCGGCGUCGCAGAGGAAUGGUCAUCGGGCAGCGGCAACGCUGCGCCACAGAACCCGGCUUACAGGCUGACUGAUGCU